GAUGAACGCUAGCGGCAGGCCUAAUACAUGCAAGUCGAACGGGAUCCAGAUCAAAGCUUGCUUUGGUCUGGUGAGAGUGGCGCACGGGUGCGUAACGCGUGAGCAACCUACCCUUGUCAGGGGGAUAGCCCGGCGAAAGUCGGAUUAAUACCGCAUGACAUCAUUGAGAGGCAUCUUUCGAUGAUCAAAGAUUUAUCGGACAAGGAUGGGCUCGCGUGACAUUAGCUAGUUGGUAAGGUAACGGCUUACCAAGGCUGCAAUGUCUAGGGGCUCUGAGAGGAGAAUCCCCCACACUGGUACUGAGACGCGGACCAGACUCCUACGGGAGGCAGCAGUAAGGAAUAUUGGUCAAUGGACGGAAGUCUGAACCAGCCAUGCCGCGUGCAGGAAGACGGCCCUAUGGGUUGUAAACUGCUUUUAUACGGGAACAAACGUCGGUACGUGUACCGGUCUGAGUGUACCGUAAGAAUAAGGAUCGGCUAACUCCGUG
rnacentral:rRNA from 1 species